rnacentral:rRNA from 1 species
UACGUAGGGGGCCAGCGUUGCUCGGAAUUACUGGGCGUAAAGCGUGCGCAGGCGGCUUUGCAAGACAGAUGUGAAAUCCCCGGGCUCAACCUGGGAACUGCAUUUGUGACUGCAAGGCUAGAGUACGGGAGAGGGGGAUGGAAUUCCGCGUGUAGCAGUGAAAUGCGUAGAUAUGCGGAGGAACACCGAUGGCGAAGGCAAUCCACUGGACCUGUACUGACGCUCAUGCGCGAAAGCGUGGGGAGCAAACAGG